GGGAUAAAAAGUUUCCAAUGCUUGUUGAUCCGGAAAUUCGUUCUGUGUGUUAAAUUUCGGCUUGUUUGGCGUGAUUGAGUCACCGACUUUCAUAUUUAUAAUGUUAGUAGUAUGUAUGUGUAUGUAAGAUUUUAAAGCGUGAUGCAUAUAAUUUUAUGCUCAACAAAGAACAUGUUUAGAUAGGUAGUUAUGAAGAAACAUGACGAUUUAUCGACAACGCUUAACCAAGUCCUACAAAAAAGGUACUCGAAAAAUUUCCUGCGUAUAUUAA